rnacentral:lncRNA from 1 species
AAGACAUAGGCUGGAGGUCCCUCACAGUCAUCCCUCCCAGGCUUCUUGUGAGUGCUGCUGCUCUUGGAGAAUCAUCUACAAACAACACAGAUGCUCCUAUAAAAAAAUCACAUGGCCAGUUGAGGACAGUGAUGAUGAAGACUUUGACUUAGACUCCACCUGCCGCAUCACUGGCUUUCUAAGGAUGUUCAUUGAAACCGGUAUAAACACCUUAUUUGCUCUCUUUACAAAUGCUUCUGUGUCUCAUGGAUAGAUAUGAUCAAUUAAAGUUGAACUACAUGUCUUUAAUCCCUUUUAUGACCUUUAGCUUCAUCGGGUACCCUGGCCCAGCUGCUGA